GGAUGUCAUCUUGGGAUUGGCCCUUCGGAGGGAAGAGCACUGCUUUAAACGAACAGCCAAACAGGAUUCGAGUGAUGCUUUGAGAUGGCUCAGUUCCCUGCAUUGUGUCUAGAGCCUCGAAUGCAGCAGACGCUUAGCUCCAACGUGGCUGUAGUGGCUUCAUCCUCACAACUUCGGUCUUUGAACUGGAAGACUUUGGAUAACCGUCUCGUGGGCUUAUUCGCUGGCAGUUACAAAUCAGUCUGGUGGUAAUUAUGCCUGCAGAUCAGCUAUUAAGUUUAUGUGCUUGUCAAAAUUUGACUCUAUGCUCCAUUGAAAUGUAAUUAGAGCCACUUAGAGCUGGUCAGACGCCAAUCUUAAGACUCUGACUGAUCUUGAUGACUACAGGAUUCGUGUUCAGCUCACCCUGGGACACCCUUCCGCUAUUCCACAGACAUCAGGGACUGGGAGAGCAGGACACCAAGCUGAAAGGAAUUGAAAGCCCUGAGGAGCCAAGGAAAUCCAGGGAGGUCAGACGCCAAGUCUUACAUUUCCUCUGGGCAGAAGCUACUGAUGGCAGGAUUUUAGAUUGGAGGAGACUGGGCUGGCAUACCAUACAUGUAAGAGACUUGAAGAGUUUUUAGUUAACAGUUUACUCUCUCUAUAAAAACUCAGACAGGACUUACAAUGCACUAACCCUGCUCUAAGUGUUUUGCAAGUAUUUACUGCUUUUGUUCCCAAGGCGAUGUUCUACAUAAGGACGAUCAUUAUACCCAAUUAUUAGGUGGGACAUUGAGUCAUAAAAAAUUAAAAUAACUUGCAUAGAGCAAAAGGAAGACUUUUAAACACUUCUUCCACCAAAUACGUUAUUUCCUCUGCUAGAGAUGUAACCCCCCACUCCGUUUGUUUGGCAAACUCUUCCUCCUCCUUCAGCAUUAAAACUCAAAGGCCACUUCAUCUGCCGUCAAUGAACUAGUGACCUGGCCUUGAUUCUGACUUCCUCUACCUCUCUGGCGAGGCUUAUGCACGUCUCUGCUAGCCAUGAACACAUUCUGUUUCAGCAAUUUAACCUCUCUGUCUGUAAGUCAAAGGCCACAUCUUACACUUCUUGGCUUCCCUCUCCCGAGUAUAUACUGCCUGGAAACCAGCAGGCACUCUUGCAAAUUCUGCCUCAAGCUCCUUAUCAGACUCCAUUCUCACUUGCCCUUUAGGAUCCAGCAUAGAAAUGAGCUCUUGUAGAAGCCAUCCUCCCCCGAUAGACCUGGGCUCUGAUGCCUCUCCUGCCUCAUUGUCAAGUCACCGCGGUCCUGUGUACAGCAUGACAGGACAGUAAUGCCUGAGUGCCUGCCUCAAUCACAGUUAUUAGGUUCUUAGUCUGCCUCAGUUUACUGCUUUGUAAAAACAGAGUGAAACCGAUACCCCAUAAGCUUUCUGCAUGUUUUUUUUAAAAAAGACUGUGUAUGUCUGUCUGUCUAUCUAUCUAUCUAUCUAUCUAUCUAUCUAUCUAUCUAUCUAUCUAUAGG
rnacentral:lncRNA from 1 species